rnacentral:lncRNA from 1 species
GUUGGAUUUCAGGAGAUGGGCUGUGGGUUUCUGAGAGGAGCCUAAGUGAAUAUGCUGAUGACUCUGUAGUCCAAGGUGUCCUGGCAAGUCAGCUGAGCAGAGCUGCAAAUGCUUUCCAGGCUCAAAAUCAACUUUCUCAUCUGAUGGCAGCAUGGAUGCCAUGGCCAGACAUUUCAGGCCCUGAAAAACAUUCCAGCCAAACUUGUGAAGAUGGAACCUCCUCCAGCAGAGCCACAGAGGAGAAUUCUGGAAAUGCAGAUUUGCAGAGCGCCCUGGAGCUGAAAGACCACGACACACUUGAUAUUUUUGGGAACAAGCACUUCAGCCACCCUAAUUCAUACAAACUAGAGGCAUCAGGCUGAACAGACCAUUGAUUUGAUUUCCUGCCUCAUUUCUUGGCUUUAAGGAUGCCUGAUCCAUACCCAAGGGAUUUGCACAGAUAAAUCAUCUUUCUAGUCCAUUUAGAGAAGGAGAAAAGAAGGAGGGGGAAAAUGAAAGACCAGUUUAUUUUUUUGGAGCUUCUGGGGUGAGUUUGUCUUUUUGUGUACAUUGAUUUUUGGCGAUGU